UUUAAAAGAUCGAUGCUUUGGCUACAUAAUAUAUAUGUCUAGCUAUUAAACAACUUAAAAGAUCGAUAGAUUGAAGGAUGACUGUUGUCCUAUCACCUUCGUGUCUGCUUUGGAUUACUUGUGGGUGCUAAAAAUGAGUUGAUUUUCAAUAUUGUUUUUAUCCUGAUUGAAGUAAUGAAUUGUGGACUAUUCUCAAGUUUGAAGGUCUCACACAUUGACACAGAGAGGGCCAGCAUAUGCAUAAUGCAUGCACAGUUAUGUAAUUGACCAAUCUUUGACUCCAUACUAAAUACUCAAUUCAAUUUACUAAGCUAUGAAUGAGCUGGGGAUCCUGACGGAUCAAACUACCCAUGUGACUCUCAUUUUGUUUUUCAAUUUCUUAACAAUUCUAAACCAUAUAAUGUCAAUUAAUUUUAUAAAAUUCACUUAGUUUAAUAUAAAUUUAUAAACUAGUUAAUUUAGUGAGUUAGAAUUUAAAUUCUUUUUAAAAGAGAUAUUUAUAUUAGUGUUUCAUGAUUUUCGAAUAAGAUUAUUUAUGAUUAAAGAAAUUUUAGUAACA
rnacentral:lncRNA from 1 species